GGGAAUAUAGAGAAAUAAGAAGAAGCUUCUAACUUCAUCUAGAGCAGUUAAAUUCCGUUCAUAUUCC
rnacentral:tRNA from 1 species